CGCUAAGGCCCAAUAGUAUUUAUAAUUUACAGAGGGAGCGAAGGCAACUCCAGACGUUCUGUCAAUAGGACGGAGGGGGGAAAAGAGCAACAAAGAUGGGAAGGUCUUCUUGUUUGCGUGAGGCAACAGCUUUACUUGUGAUAGGCAUUCUGUGCUUGGUCAUAAUUUUUAGUAAAAAGGACAUUCCUCCUGAUGAACCCUCUGACCAUGUCCACAUAAACAGAAUGGAAUCAACCUAUCAAAACAGACCUCAGAAA